UACGACAGGCUGCCACUGUUUGUUCAGGCUGUGAGGGGCUUCACAUGCUGUCAUUCUGUCUGUCUAGUCUGUCUGUCAGUCGGUCUGUCUGCGGGCUGAGCAGCUGUCGAUGAAGGUGAAGGUGAGCGUGGACGGGUGAUCAACUUCCUGAGGAUCUAUAAACUUCAAACUGUGGUGUGCUGUCUGAGGAGCUCCAGCAGCAGAGAUGAUCCUCAGACUGGGGCGGCUCACUCCGGGAUACUUCAGACUCCUGGAGAGGCAGGUCUCCGGUGAGGUCCGGAUGCAGCCACAGAGCAGCUUCAUCAAUCCCAUCGCCAUGACGAUGGCCACAUUGGGGAUGGGAGUGUCUCUGUACAGCACCAGGCAGAUGGCAGAGGGGAAUCUGAAGCAUCAGUGAGAGCAGUGUGUGGGACAGGGUGUGGGACAGGGUGUGGGACAGGGUGUGUGUGUGUGUGUGUGUGUGUGUGU